CUUAUAACAAGUCUAACUGGCUCUGGAAAGCUGAAAAGGCUGCACUGGAGCGGCAUAGAUGAUAUAUUCCACAUAAUAAUCUGCUUAUCUAGAAUCACUCUGCCUAGAAAGGCCAGAGAAAAUCGCAGCUUCAUUAUCUGAGGAAAGAAGGACAGGUGAUCUGGCAAAAACAUUUCUGAACCUGGAGCAAGAACGAUCCUCUGGCUUGGCAGUCCCAACAGUGCAGUGUGAAAGGAACUGAGCCUCCCCAGAAAUCCAAGGGCAGCCACAGCAGCAAAACCGGAGGAAUAGGAUACUUUACACAAGAGAAAAUGCUUUCCAAAACUUGAUGCUUAUUUUAGGAGAAUUGGGUACAUUCCCAGCCAUCUUUCCAACACAAGUCUUCUAUCUCUGACCAAGGAUAAAUUCUUCAAUUUCCAACCAUGGAAAGAACCAAGUUCAUGAACCAAGGUAUCACUGAGCUCAUAAGAAUUCUGCAGUUUCAUUCUCUCUAUGAAAAAGAUCAAGUUACAAAGAAGCCUCCUCCACACUGAAGCAGAGAGCCAAAGAAAAAUGAUCUAACCACAGUCUGAAUCUGCUGGACAGUUAAUCACCUUCAAUAAGCUCCAAGCCUGGGCUGUAAUUGUUUCCACCAUCUUUUCCAACAGUUUGCAUCUUCUUUUUCAAUUUUAUUUGACAUUAAAUUCGAUGAAGUCACCCUUAUUUGAAAAUUAAAAUUCAUCAUCAUAAGAAGCUGAGGGAGGAUGCUUUUAAACAAGAAAGAUGCUAAACUCACAAUACCUAAGGAAUUCCUGUUUAUUGUUUAUUUUCUUAAUGCCACGUAGUAUUUGAAGACCAGGUUGCAAACAGAAGUGCUCCACCAAACCUGCUCUUCCUACACAAAAGUACAGUAUAAAAUGCUUUACCUGCUUGCUUGCAGAAGACAUGUUUUUGUCACAAAUAAAAAAUGUACACCAAAUUCAAAGACCUUAAUGGAAUUAAUACGAAUCUUACAUUUGCACAAGAGCAUGCUUGAUUUAGCAUUCUUUGGGAAGGGGCUGUUGGUAACUGGAAGGAAAGAAGGAGAAGAAGCACUCUCUAUAAGGUGGCUUAGAAAGGAGAGAUUGAAGCAGCCAGAACAAACUUCUAGGGUGGAUAAAAGACCAACCUUGUCACAAUAUUUCCAGAGGCCAAUCAUUAAUAGUUGCAAGAGCCACUAUAGAGCAUUAGCAUUAUUCAUAACUGUAUCAUUGGGACUCUUGCUCUCAUUUUGGCACCUUUAAGAACCUUCUACAAUUUGCAUGCUUGUUUCCAGCCAAGCAAAUUUAAUAAAGCCCAUUUUUCAUCCAUGUGACUUUGGGUUUAGGAAAAUUACAUCUAGAGGAAGCAUUCAUCUUACUGGUUGUCUUUUUCUCUACAGCUCUGUCCUCUGGCUGGAGAAGGCAGAGCCCUCCGUCACAGAAAGCAUAUCAAUGUACAUUUUUCUACAUCGUGCAACAUUGAGCUGAACACUCACUCGACAGCACAGCCACAGGUGUUUUCACUUUACAAGGCUGUGUCAUAUUUGUCUUGUGCUUUUCAUCAUACAUUUGAUUUAACAGACAAAUUUUCAAGGCUCAGUGCUGAUGGAUAUACCCUGGAGCCAACUUCAAAGCCAGAUCUUAGAUUUAUGAAAAUAAAAUAAGCAUACUGCUUCAAUUACAAAUACCUACUUUGAAUUCCAAUGUGAACUUUCAAAUGUUCAUCUUAUAAAUCUUGCCCUUUAUUUGAAAC
rnacentral:lncRNA from 1 species